GAGGGACCCAGGAGGGAGGAAAGGAGGUUGAGAGGAGGGAAGGAGGGAAAGAGCCCGGGAUAGGGGCUCGCAGGCCGGGACCAAGGGAAAAAGAGGAGAGCUCGCCCAAGAGGACAGCCCUGAGGAUAGGACACUGCGGAGAUGGGCAAACCGAGGAUCUUGAAUGAGAGGCGUGAAAAAGUCUGAAGACAGACAGCAAGGACCACGCAGGAUCCUAGGCAGUGAUGUGAAGGUGUCCAAGACGCCUCUUAGACGAGGACAUUGUCAGCUCUGGUGAUGCUUUUGCCUCAGAAGGGAUUUGGGUCCUCCCAGGGGCAUGGAGAAGAUACAGCCACCAUAUUCUUCAGAUGGAACACAGUCCAGCUGCUGAGGUGGACCUAGGAGCUUGCAAGGAUGACCCAAGGCUAUGGGCAUGGCAAGGCAGGAGACAGCUUUCUACAGAGGUGGCAUGGUGUAACAUGAAGUCCAAGUUACUUCCAGAAGCACCUGAGGUAGCAUGGCUUUUUCAACAAGAGGAUAAGCAACGUGAGGGCCAGAAGAAGGAAACACAUUCUAUCUUUGCACUUCGGAUUCAAAACUCACUCUACCUUGGAAAAUCAUUGGCUCCCUCGCUCUGCUAUUUUUUGCUGCUGGUCCAUGGAAGCUGGGAGAUCCGUGUGGCAGGCUAACUCUAAGGUCGCCCCCUGGUGUCCGUUUCUUGCAUAAUCCACCAAGGCUUCAGUGACACAUCUCAGCCUCUCUUACUGGAUACUCUCAGAGGCCCCAAGAAGACGUGAAGGGAAGUCUGGAGAAUAAAGGCACCACCCAGGUGGAGCUAGCUUCAACUUUACUGUAGCCAAUCCCUACUUCUUCUGAAGAUGUUAGCUGAGAGCCAUUGGAAAAUUCCACUGGACCCCUCCUGGAAGAGACAGCCCAGAGAGCAUGUAGGCCAGAAGGGAGAGGCUGAGUAAGCCCUUCCUACCUCAU